rnacentral:rRNA from 1 species
AUGGCUCGGGCUGCGUUCGACCACUUCACUGCCACCAUUGGAUCCCAGUCCACGCGUGAUCACGCGCUCAACCUGUGCCUGUUCGAUCAACGCCGCUUCGACCUGCUACCGCUUGAUGAGCCUUUUUCCGAGGACGAGAUAUGGAAUGCAAUCAAGGCCAUGCCGCUUGGCAAGGCGCCGGGACCGGACGGCUUCACGGCGGAAUUCCUACGCUUGUGUUGGGCCAUCGUCAAAGAUGACAUAUGUGCCGCUUUCGACAAACUCUACACUAUGAACGGCAUGGGAUUU